rnacentral:rRNA from 1 species
GUGGAUUCUCAAGCGUGAGGUAAGAGCAUUUGGUGGAUGCCUUGGCAUGUACAGGCGAAGAAGGACGUGGCACGCUGCGAUAAGCGUCGGGGAGUUGUGAGCAAACUUUGAUCCGGCGAUUUCCGAAUGGGGAAACCCACCUUCACCAUUUCUUCCAGUCUGCUUUCGGGCAGGCCGGGCGAGGUGGAAAAGGUAUCAUCGAGUUGAAUAAAAUAGACUUGGUGAAGCGAACCCGGGGAACUGAAACAUCUCAGUACCCGGAGGAAAAGACAUCAACAGAGAUUCCCGUAGUAGUGGCGAGCGAACCGGGACCAGGCCAGUGCCUUCAUUUCAACUAGCAGAACACUCUGGAAAGUGUGGCCGUAGCGGGUGACAGCCCCGUAUGCGAAAGUGAUGAUGAAGGACUAGAGUAGGGCGGGACACGUGAAAUCCUGUCUGAACAUGGGGGGACCACCCUCCAAGCCUAAAUACUCGUACAUGACCGAUAGCGAACACAGUACCGUGAGGGAAAGGUGAAAAGCACCCCGAUUAGGGGAGUGAAACAGUACCUGAAACCGAAUGCUUACAAGCAGUUGGAGCCUCUUUAGGGGGUGACAGCGUACCUCUUGCAUAAUGGGUCAGUGACUUAAUCUAGCAUGCAAGCUUAAGCCGUUAGGUGUAGGCGAAGCGAAAGCGAGUCUGAAUAGGGCGACUGAGUAUGUUGGAUUAGACCCGAAACCCGGCGAUCUAGGCAUGAGCAGGUUGAAGGUGCGGUAACACGCACUGGAGGACCGAACCGUUUAAUGUUGAAAAAUUAUCGGAUGACUUGUGUUUAGGGGUGAAAGGCCAAUCAAGCCGGGAAAUAGCUGGUUCUCCGCGAAAUCUAUUGAGGUAGAGCGUCAGAUGUAUGCCGAUGGGGGUAGAGCACUGGAUGGGCUAGGGCUGCGCGAGCGGUACCAAACCUAACCAAACUCCGAAUACCAUCGAGUCUUGUCUGGCAGACAGACGGCGGGUGCUAAGGUCCGUCGUCAAAAGGGAAACAGCCCUAACCUACAGCUAAGGUCCCCAAGUCAUAUCUAAGUGGGAAAGCAUGUGGGAAUCCCAAAACAACCAGGAGGUUGGCUUAGAAGCAGCCAUCCUUUAAAGAAAGCGUAACAGCUCACUGGUCUAAAUAAGGGUUCCUGCGGCGAAGAUGUAACGGGGCUAAAGAUAUGCACCGAAGCUUAGGGUUGCAGUUUACUGCAGCGGUAGCGGAGCGUUCCGUAGGCGAGUGAAGCGGGAGGGUAACCGACCGUGGACGUAUCGGAAGUGCGAAUGCUGACAUGAGUAGCGACAAACAGGGUGAGAUACCCUGUCGCCGAAAGACCAAGGGUUCCUACGCAAUGCUAAUCAGCGUAGGGUGAGCCGGCCCCUAAGACGAGCCCGAAGGGGGUAGUCGAUGGGAACCACGUUAAUAUUCGUGGGCCUGAAGAUGUGUGACGGAUCGUGGAAGUUGUGUGGCCUUAUUGGAUUGGUCAUGCAGCCAAGCGGUUCCAGGAAAUAGCCUCUUCAUAUAGACCGUACCCGAAACCGACACAGGUGGUCAGGUAGAGUAUACCAAGGCGCUUGAGAGAAGUAUCCUGAAGGAACUCGGCAAAUUGCCUCCGUACCUUCGGAAGAAGGAGGCCCCAUCUUAAGGCAACUUUUGGUGGGGGGCACAGGCCAGGGGGUAGCGACUGUUUAUCAAAAACACAGGACUCUGCUAAGUCGGCUUCAAGACGACGUAUAGGGUCUGACGCCUGCCCGGUGCUGGAAGGUUAAGAGGAGGAGUGCAAGCUCCGAAUUGAAGCCCCAGUAAACGGCGGCCGUAACUAUAACGGUCCUAAGGUAGCGAAAUUCCUUGUCGGGUAAGUUCCGACCUGCACGAAUGGCGUAACGA